rnacentral:miRNA from 1 species
AUAUUAGAUUGGUGCAAAAGUAAUUGUGGUUUUUGCCUUCAAAAAUAAUGGCAAAACCACAAUUACUUUCACACCA